GUAGAAAAAACCCCUGUUGCAACCCCCUUGUUGCAGCGUACAUGUAAUAAUACGCUUCAACAACCAGUAGGUCAACGCGGGUCAAACUUUAUAAAGGGUUGUUGCAGCGUACAAAUUAAUUGCCCGCAGCAAGAGAGUUUUUUGCAGCGUACAAAGUAAAAGCCCCCUGCAAUAGCCCAUUUAUUUUGCAGCGUACAGAUAAAAGCCCCCUGCAAUAAAAAAAUUUCGCUGCAAAGCUAAUUAAGAAAAACAUUUCAUCUCAAACCUAAGGACCAUUUCCACGCUCAGUACUCCCUCUUCUUCCCUCAGCUUUCCCUGCGUACUCUCUCACCUCCUCAUUCUUCUUCUUCUUCAUCUGCUCUCUUUCUCUCUCUAAUUCGUGGUUUUUUUGGGUUUUUUGCAAGUAAUUGUUGAAAUUGGGUGACAAUUCGUCUUGGUUUUUGUGAAAAUUUGCUCGACUCCUUAUCUCCAAGCAUCUGGCCUUCGACCUCAGCCUUCGAACUCAGCCGCCGUCGAACUCAGCCGUCGAACUCAGCAACUCAGGCGUUGCUCGGCCCUGCGUCGCUGUCUUCGCCGAUGGGUUGUUUUUCCUGGGAAAAUAUUCAUUCAAUUGAGAAACAAACAUUGUGUUCCUUUUUCAAUGGGAAGGUGGAAAAUCGGACUCCGGAUGUCUACAAGGAGAUACGGACUUGGAUUAUGAAGAGGUUUCAUGCCAAUCCAAGCACAAACAUUGAACUGAAAGAUCUGUCGGAGCUGUCUAUUGGGGAUAUAGAUGCAAGAUGUUGACAAGGCAGAGCAAAUAGACUCUUUAAUUGAAAAGUUUUAUCAGUUACAACAUAAGCAAUCCUCUGUACUAUUAGUUCCAAGAGCCAACGUGUCAACAGCGGCAGUGCCUUCAGGCCUAUUUCCGGAGUCGAUCACAGAAGAGUUGGUAGAACAAGAGGGACCUGCAGUUGAGUAUCAUUGCAACUCUUCUUCUGUUGAUUGUUCUUGCAGUUGAGCAGGUGAUGGGAAGGUCUUCACCAAAUGACAAGCUACAGGCCUAUAAAAGGACAGUCUGCUGGACCAGCGUAGGAGAAGUGCAGACAUCGAGGCUGAUUUUUCGAUGAAAUUGGCUGAUAUGUUAAAAUAGUUCAAUGAAUGCUCUAGUUCUUUGAGUAGGCACAAAGAGAUGGACAGAGAGCUUGAA